rnacentral:tRNA from 4 species
CGGGGUGUAGUUCAUCGGUAGAACGCUCGCUUUGGGAGCGAGAAGUAGCAAGUCCAAUUCUUGUCACCCCGA